UGGGGCUCAAAUGUAACAUUUAGCGUUGUCAGCAGGAUAAAGUCAGUGGAUCUUCAGUCCCCGAGGCUCCUGGGCAGGCUAUGUGGCCGCAGCACGAUGGGCUGUGGUACCCAGUGGCAGCGGUACUGCUGGGAUAGGCCCCAGUGAAACAUGGGAGGUAGUGGGCGGGUCUCCUGUGAGUGUGGAGAAAGCACUAAAGCAGCUGGAAGAACACCGUGCUGAGAAGAAAUGCAAUGCACCUUUGCCGGCGGAGUUGGAUGGGCAUUUCUGACUGCACUGCGGGAAGUACAUGCUCAGUUCCUGCGGGAUGCUGCACAGGUAAAGGACCUCUACAUGCAAGCCACAUGCCCGGGGGCCCAAAUGCACAGCUUGGAGCAAAACUUGGAGACUCAGCUUUGAAGUAGACCUUCCUCCCGCUGCCGCUCUGUUUCUGCCCAUAUAAUGAAGGCUUACCACUUUCUGUAAGCUUUGUCUGCAUGACCUCAUCCAGCUGGGAGAUCCCCCUGCCAGGCCAGCAAAUGACCAAUCCCAUCAUCCCUUCUGAGGACAGCACCCUGGGAAGUCACAUGCUGAGGUACUAGGGGUGAGGACUUCAACGUGCGAAUUUUGAGAGAAUGCUAUUCAGCCACAGAUGAUAAUUGGGUGAGUUUCAGCCUUUUUAAAAUUCAUUCAAGUACAGUCGGUUCUGCUAUAAUGAGAAAUGUGUGUUCUGAAGCCUUACUAUUCUCUGAAAACUUGGCACAAUAAAAGCUACAGGGCUUAUGAGGAAAGUAGGGUUGAGACACAACACUCGAAUACUUUAUCAGUAACACAUACAAAAAGAGAUAGGAACCUAGCAAAAAUGGCACAACAGUUCUACACAUUUUAUAUGUUUGAAAACAUGUAAAUACUACAAUAAAUGUGACAUUUUAUAUUGAGAAAGACCUGAAAGCAUUUGUGGAAAUGGGUAUGGGAAAAGCUGCAGCUUGGGAAUUAUUGUGAAGUGGUAAAAGAUUUAUCUGAAACAAGAUUUAUAUGAAAGGGAAAGUUAUGACACCAAAUUUGGUAGAGGCUGACUCAUAAUGCAUACAGAGAAUUAAGAUAGCUGGUAGGAGUGUGAGAUGUAUACAUUUUGCAUAUUCCAAUAUCACUUGCUUCUUUUAAGUAUGGUUUUCUAUGUUCACCUAGUGUUUCUCAAGGACAAAAUUGCCCAUACACAAGAGUGAAAUUUAUGCAAUACUUAAAUUGUCAGUUACAGCAGAACUGACUCUACAUGAACAUAAUUAAAUCAAACAUCCAUAAUAUGUAAAGUGCCCUGCUGAGUUUGGAUGAGAGAAGGAAGUAUAAAACACAGCCUCUGCCCUCAAGGGGCUCACACUCUGCUAAAAAAUAGCAAUCCGACUCCACCAUAUAACACAAUGCUUUAGGAACUUCUACUAUUCCUGUAUAGUUGAAACAAAGUUUGAUUGUGGUUGGGGGAUGUGAACUUAGGUAAAGCAUCCAGGAAAUAAUGGGGAGAAAUCUACAAUAUGCAUUUGUAUUUCAGUUCUGCCACUUUUUUGCUUUGUAAUUUUGGAUAUGCUGCUUUGGUGCUCUGUUCCUCACUCUCCUUGUCUAUAGAAUCAGGUCAUAACAUUAUCACCUACUUUUUUAGAAAUAUGUGAGGAGUAAAAGGAACUACACUAUCUAAAAUGAGUAAAACAAUGCCUGACACAUAAUAAGCAUUCUAGUUAGUGCUCAUUGUAACUACUAUCAGUGUCAUUACUUCUAUCAGUGCUAGAUUUAUUAUUAUUUUCAUGGAUGAGCUGGAAUAUCACAUAAAUAUUGACAUUCUACCUAGAAGCAGUAGGAAACCAGCAUAAGAAUUUAAGCAGGGAAGUCAAAGCAUAAUAUUUUUAUAACAAAGCUUUGACAGUGCGUUGAAAUAUGGUUUGAGGACAGGUAAAAGAGGAAGCAAGUGUAUCUCCUUGCUAAAUUAAAGUGAAGAUUGAGAGUGGACAGUUACAGGAAGAUGAAGAUAAAGGAGGCCGGGUGCGGUGGC